UACGUAGGUGGCGAGCGUUGUCCGGAUUUACUGGGCGUAAAGCGCGCGCAGGCGGUGACGUAAGUCGCGUGUGAAAUCUCCCGGCUCACCCGGGAGGGGGCGCGCGAGACUGCGCCACUGGAGGUGGGCAGAGGCCGGUGGAAUUCCCGGUGUAGUGGUGAAAUGCGCAGAUAUCAGGAGGAACACCGGUGGCGAAGGCGGGUCUCUGGGCCGUAACUGACGCUGGAGGAGCGAAAGCGUGGGGAGCAAA
rnacentral:rRNA from 1 species